GGGUCUGUAGCUCAGGUGGUUAGAGCGCACCCCUGAUAAGGGUGAGGUCGGUAGUUCGAGUCUAACCAAGACCC
rnacentral:tRNA from 1 species